rnacentral:rRNA from 1 species
UGAACGCUAGCUACAGGCUUAACACAUGCAAGUCGAGGGCAGCAUGGGAUAGCUUGCUAUUCAGAUGGCGACCGGCGCACGGGUGAGUAACGCGUAUCCAACCUUCCUGCCAGUAGGGAACAGCCCGGCGAAAGUCGGAUUAAUGCCCUAUGUUCUUCAAUGCGGACAUCUAAGUUGAAGGAAAGAUUCAUCGCUGGCAGAUGGGGAUGCGUCCGAUUAGCUUGCCGGCGGGGUAACGGCCCACCGGGGCGACGAUCGGUAGGGGUUCUGAGAGGAAGGUCCCCCACACUGGUACUGAGACACGGACCAGACUCCUACGGGAGGCAGCAGUGAGGAAUAUUGGUCAAUGGGCGUAAGCCUGAACCAGCCAAGUAGCCGUGCAGGAUGACGGCCCUACGGGUUGUAAACUGCUUUUAUACAGGGAUAAAGUGAGGGACGUGUCCCUUUUUGUAGGUACUGUAUGAAUAAGGACCGGCUAAUUCCGUGCCAGCAGCCGC